GCAUUGAUGGUGUAGCGGUAACAUGCGGUCUUCCCAGGUUGUUCCCAGGUAUCUUGGCCGCGCUCCGAGUUCGACUCUCGGUCAAUGCA